UUGCACAAUUUGUGGUCUUGCAAAAGUUAGCUGUACAUGCACAUUCUCCUCUAAUCAGCACAAAAUCAUCAUGUGUCUUUUCUAGCACUUGCACUAAAGAAAAAAGGCCUCUUUUGACUACAAUAGAGACAAUAGGAAGGCUCAAAGGUUGAAGACAAAAGAUUCUGCAGAAAUUAAAGGAAAAGCUGCUAGAGAGCAUGACAGCUCUUUUUGUUAUUUUCUGGGCUAGUUGUUGAAUUUUGUCAAAGGCCUUUUCUGCAUCUAUUGACAUACUCGUGUAGUUUUUGUCUUUGGUUCUGUUUAUAUGCUGGAUUACGUUUAUUGAUUUUUUUGGAAUCUGAAAUAGGACAAACCUACUGACAGACAGGAUCCUUAUGAAAGACAGAAAAACAAGAGGAAUUUUUGAUGGUCCCACAGUGAAGAGUCACAAAAUUGGAGCACUGGAGAAUCAUUCACAGAGAAAAUUUAUCCUUCCAUAUUUUUUGUUAAAUUUUGAAGCUGUGAUAGAUAGGAGGUAAAAACAACUAGAGAUGAAUUUCUUGCAGUCUCACA
rnacentral:lncRNA from 1 species